rnacentral:rRNA from 1 species
GUGGGGAAUUUUGGACAAUGGGCGCAAGCCUGAUCCAGCAAUGCCGCGUGCAGGAAGAAGGCCUUCGGGUUGUAAACUGCUUUUGUACGGAACGAAACGGUCCUGGUUAAUACCUGGGGCUAAUGACGGUACCGUAAGAAUAAGCACCGGCUAACUACGUGCCAGCAGCCGCGGUAAUACGUAGGGUGCGAGCGUUAAUCGGAAUUACUGGGCGUAAAGCGUGCGCAGGCGGUGCUGUAAGACAGGCGUGAAAUCCCCGGGCUCAACCUGGGAAUUGCGCUUGUGACUGCAGUGCUGGAGUACGGCAGAGGGGGAUGGAAUUCCGCGUGUAGCAGUGAAAUGCGUAGAUAUGCGGAGGAACACCGAUGGCGAAGGCAGUCCCCUGGGCCUGUACUGACGCUCAUGCAUGAAAGCGUGGGGAGCAAACAGGAUUAGAAACCCUGGUAGUCC